GCUGUGGUAGCUCAGUGGUAGAGCACACCCUUGGUAAGGGUGAGGUCGAGAGUUCAAUCCUCUCUCACAGCACCA
rnacentral:tRNA from 99 species